rnacentral:rRNA from 1 species
AACGAACGCUGGCGGCAUGCCUAACACAUGCAAGUCGAACGAAGCCUUCGGGCUUAGUGGCGCACGGGUGCGUAACGCGUGGGAAUCUGCCCCUUGCUUCGGAAUAACAGUUAGAAAUGACUGCUAAUACCGGAUGAAGUCUUCGGACCAAAGAUUUAUCGGCAAGGGAUGAGCCCGCGUAGGAUUAGGUAGUUGGUGGGGUAAAGGCCUACCAAGCCGACGAUCCUUAGCUGGUCUGAGAGGAUGAUCCGCCACACUGGGACUGAGACACGGCCCAGACUCCUACGGGAGGCAGCAGUGGGGAAUAUUGGACAAUGGACGCAAGUCUGAUCCAGCAAUGCCGCGUGAGUGAUGAAGGCCUUAGGGUUGUAAAGCUCUUUUACCAGGGAUGAUAAUGACAGUACCUGGAGAAUAAGCUCCGGCUAACUCCGUG